GACGAACGCUGGCGGCGUGCUUAACACAUGCAAGUCGAACGGAAAGGCCAUGAUUUUGCGGGGUGCUCGAGUGGCGAACGGGUGAGUAACACGCGAGUAACACGCCCCUGUCUUUGGGAUAACAUCAGGAGACUGGGGCUAAUACCGGAUAGGAGCUCCUGCUGCACGGUGGGGGUUGGAAAGUUUCGGCGGUUGGGGAUGGACUCGCGGCUUAUGAGCUAGUUGGUGGGGUAGUGGCGUACAAGGGCUUUGACGGGUAGCCGGCCUGAGAGGGUGACCAGCCACAUUGGGACUGAGGUACGGACCAGACUCCUACGUGAGGCAGCAGUGGGGAGUAUGGCGCAAUGGGCGGGAGCGUGAUACAGCAACGUCGCGUGCGGGAUGACGGCCUACGGGUUGUAAACCGCUUUCGCCUGUGACGAAGAGUGAGUGACGGUAAUGGGUAAAGAAGCACCGGCUAACUACGUG
rnacentral:rRNA from 1 species